rnacentral:misc_RNA from 1 species
GCGAAAAUGCACCUAAAUGAUCAAUUGGAAGAAAAGGGUUGAUAAUCUAUUAAUCCUUUUAUUCUACUUCUUUCUGAUUAAAUAUCAAUUCAGUAAGCACGCCAACCAUUCGAUUGGACACAAGUGUGCUGAAUUAUCAUUUCAUAGGUCAUAACUAAUAAACUACAUCUUCUUCCUAAAUACAGUGUGAAUGAGAAAGUAAUGAAAUUUACAACUAUCAUUUCCCAGCCUCCAGGAAUCUCCUCUAACUUCAGUAUCCAUGUCCCUUGUGUUUUGGAUUUAGCUGCUAAUUGGUGACAGCACAAAUCAGAGCAUUCUGUUCUCCUACACCCAUUGUGUGUGGUUACU